ACCGAGUUGUAAUUUGGAGACGGGACACUAGAGAGGAGGAAGGCGAUUAAGUGCCUUGGAACAGGCUGCCGUAGAGGGUGAGAGCCCCGUGAAUCGCUGGAGACCGAUCAAUUAGUGCCCGCCGAAGAGUCGAGUUGUUUGGGAAUGCAGCUCUAAGUGGGUGGUAUAUUCCAUCUAAGGCUAAAUAUUAGCGAGAGACCGAUAGCAAACAAGUACAGUGAUGGAAAGAUGAAAAGAACUUUGGAAAGAGAGUGAAAUAGUACGUGAAAUUGUUGAAAGGGAAGGGUAUUUGAUCCGACAUGGUGUUUAGCAGCGGCCCGUUCCUCGUGGAUGGGUGCACCUGGUUUACACUGGGCCAGCAUCGGUUCUGGGAGCCAUAUACGGGGUUCGUGAAUGUGGCCCUUCGAUUCUGUCGGAGGGUGUUAUAGCGCGGACAUCUUGUGGCUAGCCGGGACCGGGGACUGCGGUGACUUGUCACCA
rnacentral:rRNA from 1 species